GGGCGGUUAACUCAGUGGUAGAGUGCCACCUUCACACGGUGGAAGUCACAAGUUCGAACCUUGUACCGCCCA
rfam:Candidimonas bauzanensis strain CGMCC 1.10190 genome assembly, contig: Ga0070552_121